GACGAACGCUGGCGGCGUGCCUAAUACAUGCAAGUAGAACGCUGAAGAGAGGAGCUUGCUCUUCUUGGAUGAGUUGCGCACGGGUGAGUAACGCGUAGGUAACCUGCCUUGUAGCGGGGGAUAACUAUUGGAAACGAUAGCUAAUACCGCAUAACAAUGGAUGACCCAUGUCAUUUAUUUGAAAGGGGCAAAUGCUCCACUACAAGAUGGACCUGCGUUGUAUUAGCUAGUAGGUGAGGUAACGGCUCACCUAGGCGACGAUACAUAGCCGACCUGAGAGGGUGAUCGGCCACCCUGGGACUGAGACCCGGCCCAGACGCCUACGGGAGGCAGCCGUAGGGAAUCGUCGGCAAGCGGGGCAACCCUGACCGAGCAACGCCGCGUGAGGAAAGAAGGAUUUCGGAUCGGAAAGCUCGGUUGUCAGUCAAGAACGAGUGUGAGAGUGGAAAGUUCACACUGUGACGGUAGCUUAACAGAAAGCGACGGCUAACUACGUG
rnacentral:rRNA from 1 species